rnacentral:rRNA from 1 species
UAGGGAAUCUUCGGCAAUGGACGAAAGUCUGACCGAGCAACGCCGCGUGAGUGAAGAAGGUUUUCGGAUCGUAAAACUCUGUUGUUAGAGAAGAACAAGGACGUUAGUAACUGAACGUCCCCUGACGGUAUCUAACCAGAAAGCCACGGCUAACUACGUGCCAGCAGCCGCGGUAAUACGUAGGUGGCAAGCGUUGUCCGGAUUUAUUGGGCGUAAAGCGAGCGCAGGCGGUUUCUUAAGUCUGAUGUGAAAGCCCCCGGCUCAACCGGGGAGGGUCAUUGGAAACUGGGAGACUUGAGUGCAGAAGAGGAGAGUGGAAUUCCAUGUGUAGCGGUGAAAUGCGUAGAUAUAUGGAGGAACACCAGUGGCGAAGGCGGCUAUCUGGUCUGUAACUGACGCUGAGGCUCGAAAGCGUGGGGAGCAAACAAG